GGGGAAAGAAGCAGGAAAAGGUACACAAGGAGGAAAAGGAAGCGUGGAAAUAUAACUCGACCAAGCUGAACAAAUGAAUCACCUUGACCCCGAAGAUGCCAUAUUCCUGGUUGAUGCGUUCCUGGAUGAGUGCAAGGUGGAUCAGCAUGGACACACUAAAGGAGAGUCAAAACAAUCCACAAAGCUGUGUGUUUGGCUUGAUGAGGACAAAGAUGGUCGAUCUCUGCCAAAAAGAUGUAGAGCUGGGGAGAAACGAAAGCGAGAUUCAGUUACUGCAGUUGCUUCAGCAAGCGUUACACCUUCCUGUGCUCCGUCUACCAGCACAACUGAAGACACUGUGACCAUCGAAAAUUUAGACUCCCUCAUUCAAGAUGUCCGAGACCUCUUGGGAAGUGGUGCUGAACAAUAUGUUGUCAUCUGAGAAGCCCAAGGAGGGGGUUUGCCAUCAUUGUGGACACAAGGCUGCAGUAGUGAUGUGUAGGGCUGUUUACCACGAUCACUCUACUGCACAGCCUGUGACCUUUCCACACAUAAGGCCCUGGUGCUUCAUAACGGAGCAUCCAUGGUGGAGGGUUUCUUCAGACACCUGCCACCAUCCACUUUUGUUCAGCAGCAUGAGGGAGGGAAAUUCUCCUAUCAUG